rnacentral:rRNA from 1 species
UGAUGUUAGCGGCGGACGGGUGAGUAACACGUGGGUAACCUGCCUGUAAGACUGGGAUAACUCCGGGAAACCGGGGCUAAUACCGGAUGGUUGUUUGAACCGCAUGGUUCAAACAUAAAAGGUGGCUUCGGCUACCACUUACAGAUGGACCCGCGGCGCAUUAGCUAGUUGGUGAGGUAACGGCUCACCAAGGCAACGAUGCGUAGCCGACCUGAGAGGGUGAUCGGCCACACUGGGACUGAGACACGGCCCAGACUCCUACGGGAGGCAGCAGUAGGGAAUCUUCCGCAAUGGACGAAAGUCUGACGGAGCAACGCCGCGUGAGUGAUGAAGGUUUUCGGAUCGUAAAGCUCUGUUGUUAGGGAAGAACAAGUACCGUUCGAAUAGGGCGGUACCUUGACGGUACCUAACCAGAAAGCCACGGCUAACUACGUGCCAGCAGCCGCGGUAAUACGUAGGUGGCAAGCGUUGUCCGGAAUUAUUGGGCGUAAAGGGCUCGCAGGCGGUUUCUUAAGUCUGAUGUGAAAGCCCCCGGCUCAACCGGGGAGGGUCAUUGGAAACUGGGGAACUUGAGUGCAGAAGAGGAGAGUGGAAUUCCACGUGUAGCGGUGAAAUGCGUAGAGAUGUGGAGGAACACCAGUGGCGAAGGCGACUC